AAAUACUCCUGACUGACCGAUAGUGAACCAGUACCGUGAGGGAAAGGCGAAAAGAACCCCGGCGAGGGGAGUGAAAAAGAACCUGAAACCGUGUACGUACAAGCAGUGGGAGCCCCACCACUAAGCCAGUGGUGAACUCCACAUCCGCAUCCUUUGCUGAGGAUACGGUUAACGGAGCGAAAGCGACGUUCAACCGCAAAACAAGCAGAGGGGGCUUAGUGGUGGGGUGACUGCGUACCUUUUGUAUAAUGGGUCAGCGACUUAUAUUCUGUAGCAAGGUUAACCGAAUAGGGGAGCCGGAGGGAAACCGAGUCUUAAUUGGGCGUUAAGUUGCAGGGUAUAGACCCGAAACCCGGUGAUCUAGCCAUGGGCAGGUUGAAGGUUGGGUAACACUAACUGGAGGACCGAACCGACUAAUGUUGAAAAAUUAGCGGAUGACCUGUGGCUGGGGGUGAAAGGCCAAUCAAACCGGGAGAUAGCUGGUUCUCCCCGAAAGCUAUUUAGGUAGCGCCUCGUGAAUUCAUCUCCGGGGGUAGAGCACUGUUUCGGCUAGGGGGCCAUCCCGGCUUACCAACCCGAUGCAAACUGCGAAUACCGGAGAAUGUUAUCACGGGAGACACACGGCGGGUGCUAACGUCCGUCGUGAAGAGGGAAACAACCCAGACCGCCAGCUAAGGUCCCAAAGUCAUGGUUAAGUGGGAAACGAUGUGGGAAGGCCCAGACAGCCAGGAUGUUGGCUUAGAAGCAGCCAUCAUUUAAAGAAAGCGUAAUAGCUCACUGGUCGAGUCGGCCUGCGCGGAAGAUGUAACGGGGCUAAACCAUGCACCGAAGCUGCGGCAGCGAACGUAUCACCCAAGACAACUUUACGGAGUUGACGAUUGACGGAGCGAAGCGACGUCAAAGCGUUCAUUAAAGUCGAGUUGGCUUAGGGAUACGUUCGUUGGGUAGGGGAGCGUUCUGUAAGCCUGUGAAGGUGUGUCGUGAGGCAUGCUGGAGGUAUCAGAAGUGCGAAUGCUGACAUAAGUAACGAUAAAGCGGGUGAAAAGCCCGCUCGCCGGAAGACCAAGGGUUCCUGUCCAACGUUAAUCGGGGCAGGGUGAGUCGACCCCUAAGGCGAGGCCGAAAGGCGUAGUCGAUGGGAAACGGGUUAAUAUUCCCGUACUUGGUGUUACUGCGAAGGGGGGACGGAGAAGGCUAUGUUGGCCGGGCGACGGUUGUCCCGGUUUAAGCGUGUAGGUGUGUGUUCCAGGUAAAUCCGGUUCACUUUAACACUGAGGCGUGACGACGAGGCACUACGGUGCUGAAGCAACAAAUGCCCUGCUUCCAGGAAAAGCCUCUAAGCAUCAGGUAACAC
rnacentral:rRNA from 1 species